rnacentral:rRNA from 1 species
UCGAGGAUCUUCGGCAAUGGGCGCAAGCCUGACCGAGCGACGCCGCGUGUGCGAUGAAGGCCUUCGGGUUGUAAAGCACUGUCGAGGGGGAGAAAAGCCCGCAAGGGUCUGAUCUAUCCCUGGAGGAAGCACGGGCUAAGUUCGUGCCAGCAGCCGCGGUAAGACGAACCGUGCGAACGUUGUUCGGAAUCACUGGGCUUAAAGGGCGCGUAGGCGGACCAUCAAGUCCGUGGUGAAAUCCCCCGGCCCAACCGGGGAAGUGCUGCGGAUACUGGUGGUCUCGAGUGGGGUAGGGGCAUGUGGAACUUCCGGUGGAGCGGUGAAAUGCGUAGAUAUCGGAAGGAACGCCGGUGGCGAAAGCGACGUGCUGGACCCCUUCUGACGCUGAGGCGCGAAAGCCAGGGGAGCAAACGG